rnacentral:lncRNA from 1 species
CUUUGUGUUUUGUCUUUGAAAAGAACUGACUGGGAGAACCCAGCAAGGCUGGUCUGGUGUUCAGAUUCUUCCUGGCCUCUGUGCAGCCUCCUUCCUUCUGGGUAAAGGAGCAAGACCCUCUGUGGAAUGAGGUCUUAUGAACUACACUCAAGCAAGAAGUAUGUCUUAUCUGAUGGCUUCACAGUAAUCUGGUUUCCCCUAAGAAGCUAAGACUAUCUGGGCUAUUUGAGAUCCUGCAAGAUUUAUCAAGACUGUACUAGCCAUAUGAAAGCAUGUUAACACAGGGAGGGAGAGAGGAAAAGCCCUCCACAUGUUAUGACUGGCAUACAUGCUUCCAAAGCAUCGUUACUAACCGAAGGCCCAGUUCCUGAGGCGAUCACCCCAGACACACUGAAUGCAAUUUGUUGGUCACUGAGAGAACAGCACAAGAAAAACCCACCCCCAUGACUUGAUUACCUCCCACAACACGUGGGAAUCAUGGGAGCUACAAUUCAAGAAGAGAUUUGGGUGGAGACACAGCCAAACCACGUCACCAGACUGCCUCUUCAGGGAGUGAAUCACAAAUGUAUUCCUGACCACCCUGUUUUCUCCCCUCUUGAAUCAGGCUGGAGUGCAAUGGCGUGACCAUGGCUCACUGCAUCCUAGACCACCCAGGCUCAAGGGAUCCUCUGCCUCAGCCUCCUGAAUAGCUGGGACCACAGUCAUGUGCCACCACACCAGGCUACUUUUAUUUUUAUUUUUUAUAGAGAUGGGGGUCGCCUAUAUUUCCAAGGCUGGUCUCCAACGCCUGGGCUCAAAAGAUCCUCUGCCUUGGCCUCUCAAAGUGCUGGGAUUACAGGUGAGCACCACCAUGCCUGGCCUAAAAUGUUCUUUUUUUAAGAGAUAGCUGUAACAAUCUUUAACUAUUUAGCAAUCCUUUUUUGGGGGAAAGGUUGUCUCUUGUUUGUCAGCAAAUGUAGUAUGUGAGUUUACAUGUCUUUGCUUUCAUUGUAUAAUUUCAAAUAGUCAGAAAAUAUUGCAUUCACUGGCAAUCAAUUUAUUUUGAUUGAUAAAAAGGGGUUAAUAAAAACCCCCUUAGAAAUAAAAAGAAGGUGAAUAGUAAUAUAUCAGUCAUGGUGCCUUCUUUCUGCUAUGCAUAAAGAAAACAAGCUUUUUUACUUCUCCCCAAUAAGUCUUCUCCCCUUAUUUUCUACACCUAUGGAGUCAUUUAUAAUCUUUAUUAUUUCCAACCACACACUAACAUGGCAUCAGUCAUAUUUCCACAUGCUGGGGGUUUUUUUUUUUUCCUUACUAUGUUGUGAGAACUG